rnacentral:rRNA from 1 species
UACGAAGGGGGCUAGCGUUGCUCGGAAUCACUGGGCGUAAAGGGCGCGUAGGCGGAUCUUUAAGUCGGGGGUGAAAGCCCAGGGCUCAACCCUGGAAUUGCCUUCGAUACUGGAGAUCUUGAGACCGGAAGAGGUAAGUGGAACUGCGAGUGUAGAGGUGAAAUUCGUAGAUAUUCGCAAGAACACCAGUGGCGAAGGCGGCUUACUGGUCCGGUUCUGACGCUGAGGCGCGAAAGCGUGGGGAGCGAACAGGG